rnacentral:pre_miRNA from 1 species
CACCUCCGCAGGUUGCUGGCCCCCAGGCUGGGCUGGGCCAGUAUCUCUUAGAAAGGCGCACCCUCAAGUGGACCAGGAGC